rnacentral:rRNA from 1 species
GACGAACGCUGGCGGCAGGCUUAACACAUGCAAGUCGAACGAGUGGCGGACGGGAGAGUAAUGCUUGGGAAUCUAGCUUAUGGAGGGGGAUAACUACGGGAAACGGUAGCUAAUACCGCGUACCAUGGGAUGAGCCCAAGUGGGAUUAGGUAGUUGGUGAGGUAAAGGCUCACCAAGCCGACGAGCUCUAGCUGGUCUGAGAGGAUGACCGGCCACCCUGGGACUGAGACCCGGCCCAGACGCCUACGGGAGGCAGCCGUGGGGAGACUUCCGCAAUGGAUGAAGGUUGACGGAGCAAGGCGGCGUGAUUGAUGACGGCCUUCGGGUUGUAAAGGUCUGUUAAUCGGGAGACGGUACCUGAAUAGAAAGCCACGGCUAACUACGUGCCAGCCGCCGCGGUAAUUC